rnacentral:rRNA from 1 species
GACGAACGCUGGCGGCGUGCUUAACACAUGCAAGUCGAACGGAAAGGCCCUGCUUUUGUGGGGUGCUCGAGUGGCGAACGGGUGAGUAACACGUGAGUAACCUGCCCUUGACUUUGGGAUAACUUCAGGAAACUGGGGCUAAUACCGGAUAGGAGCUCCUGCUGCAUGGUGGGGGUUGGAAAGUUUCGGCGGUUGGGGAUGGACUCGCGGCUUAUCAGCUUGUUGGUGGGGUAGUGGCUUACCAAGGCUUUGACGGGUAGCCGGCCUGAGAGGGUGACCGGCCACAUGGGGACUGAGAGACGGCCCAGACUCCUACGGGAGGCAGCAGUGGGGAAUAUUGCACAAUGGGCGGAAGCCUGAGGCAGCAACGCCGCGUGCGGGAUGACGGCCUUCGGGUUGUAAACCGCUUUCGCCUGUGACGAAGCGUGAGUGACGGUAAUGGGUAAAGAAGCACCGGCUAACUACGU